CGUGCACUGGUGGGGUCCCUUGGCCUGGCCUGUGCCCUCUCGCAAUCCGGGGGGAUGUCGGAUUGACAGUUUCGGCCCGAUCCACACAGGUCAGGCCAAGGGACCCCACCAGUGCACG
rfam:Myotis brandtii contig215102, whole genome shotgun sequence.